GCGAAGAAGAGAAAUUAGAUUUAUGCAAAGACAGCAAUUUAAAUCAGUGUCAAUGUUGCUGGGACAAAAUAUUAUCCUUCUAUUAGCGACUAGCAACUGUAACACCGUGCAAACAUCAAUUCCACUAUCCUCCGAGGAUGGGUUCAAGUGUACUCUUUUCUUUGGCUCCACUUGCAAACCUAAAGAAGAAAGUAGUUCAUCUUCUCCGAUGGUUAUCAAGAAAAACGGGAGGAAAGAGAAUAAUAUCAUUCUGUUGGUGUUCUUCAGAAUCGCAUGUACAUAAGCAUCGAG
rnacentral:misc_RNA from 1 species